GUAAGAUUGCACAACCAGCUGGAGGACAGCCCUUUGGGACAUGGGAGAGCACAUGCUCCUGGGCCAGGCCUGGGGCCACUGGUCCCUGAGCAAGUCUGCCAGCCUUCUGAGCAGAGCUGUCCCUGGCUUGGGGGCCUCUCCAGUCUGGCUGUUCCCCCAUGGGGGAGACUUGCCCCUCCAUAGAGAAGCUCUAUAACGUCCUGCCGCGCACUGUGCAGGGUCUGUUGGCAGAUGCGGUGCUCAUCUUCAGCUCCCUCCAAGCAGUGUGUAUUAUACAGUCAAGGUCAUGAUCUCAAAGUGUCAAAUGUCCUGGAAAGAGGUUCAGAAGACGUCUCUGAAAAGAGAGGAUCAGAAGACUUGUUUCUGCUCCUAGCUAGUCACCCAGAGAAUGCUCUUCAGUCUGGACAGGGAAAAAUAACCCUACUGAGUUCAUGCUUGGUGAGAAGAUGCCUGAGAAGAACUGCAGCCUUCAAAAAGAGUUGUACCAGCAGUUGGUCUUUGAAUAUGGACCACUGGACCCAAGAAAGCUGCUGGAUCAUUUAUCAGACAGGUUUUGAAACCAAGAAAGAGGACAUCAUCUGUCUGAGAAGUUAUCAUCUCACUGCCCAUUCUUCCCUACCCCAUCCCUGCCCAACAUGAACACAUUUCAAUCUAAACCUGGAAAUAGUAUGACAAGGUCUAGUGACUUCAAAGUAAAGGCGAACUAAGUUCUCUCUUCCAUUGACAAGCUACAUGUAAAGUUUGUUUCAUGCCUCAGUAAGAUUACUAAAUUCCACUUAGCUUCUUCCAAUGAGGUCUUUCCACACGUGCCAAUUACCUCCCAAUUAAUACAAUCAAGUAACCACCUUAUAAACAACUUUUAAUUUUGAAUGUCAGGUUAACAUUUUUCCUCAUUCUCUUCCACCCAUCGUUUCAUGAAAUUUCAAGGCUUGAGCUUUCUCCACUUCCUCUGUCACUCAGUUUAAGACUAGGCAGGGCUGGGGCAGUGAGGAACAUUUCUGUGAACAGCUGAUGAAGGGCUUGUGUCUGCUUAUUUCUGAAAUGAACUAGUCUCAUGUAAGCAACAAGGUUUAACAUGAUUUUGUGUUUUUUUUGGUACCAGGGAUCAAACUCGGGACCUUGUGCUUGCAAGGCAGGUG
ensembl:lncRNA